AAAAAAAAUAAAAACAGUUUGGCUAUCCAUAUGUUGUUUCAUUUUUCUGGUUUUAAAGUUGUUCGCUUAGCAAAAAACUCACGCCAGAGGUUCAUUCCACGACACGACACGACACAACACAUCACAUUUCCACAAGGUAAAAACAAGACAAUCCAGAACGCAAGAAAGCAAAUCUGGAAUCACUGUCUGUUCUUUGUCCACCACUACACCACCCACAAAAACCCUAACCUCAAAUUCCCUCCUUUUUUUAUUAAACUAAUCCCUUCUUUUUCCCCUUUCCCACUAACCCCACUUUCACACACACUCUCUCUCUCUCUACACUCUCAAUAG